rnacentral:lncRNA from 1 species
GCGCUCCAUCUUCUCAUGUAGUGAAUAAAUUCACCAUGCAAAUUUUUGGCAUAUCAGAUACUUGUAGUAGAAGGAAACUCUCUCUUCUAUGUGUCAUAAAAAACCCAAUCAAUUUUGGUAUUAAAUUAUAGGAUAUUUGGUUUAUCUUUUAAGGCAAUGCGUAUAAUUAAGAGCCUUCUUUAAGAAGGACUCUCCAUUUCACACGCCAAUUUGAGAUGGGGUGGCAUUUAUUUUUUAUGCAACUUCUGGUAG